rnacentral:rRNA from 1 species
AUUGAACGCUGGCGGCAUGCCUAACACAUGCAAGUCGAACGGAGCGGCGGACGAGUGAGUAAUGACUAGGUAUCUGCCCGGUCCUGGGGGAUAAGGUCCGCUAACGGGAGCUAAUACCACAACUUUUCCGAUGAGCCUAGGUCGGAUUAGCUAGAUGGUGGGGUAAAGGCCUACCAAGGCUACGAACCGUAACUGGUCUGAGAGGCUGAUCAGUCACACUGGAACUGAGACACGGGCCAGACUCCUACGGGAGGCAGCAGUGGGGAAUAUUGGACAAUGGGCGAAAUCCUGAUCCAGCCAUGCCGCGUGUGUGAAGAAGGUCUUCGGGUUGUAAAGCACUUUAAGUUGGGAGGCGUUACCAGCAGAAUAAGCACCGGCUAACUUCGUGCCAGCAGCCGCGGUAAUUC